rnacentral:tRNA from 1 species
AAUUAGUAUAUUUUGAUUACGAUUACCUUCCAAGUAAAAAAACUCUUUGAAAGAGAUU